rnacentral:misc_RNA from 1 species
GUGAAUCAUCGAAUUUUUGAACGCAAAUUGCACUCCCUUGUAUUCCGGGGAGUAUGCCUUUUUGAGGGUCGUUUGAAGAAAAAUCGAAGCAUCCCUCUUUUUUUUUAGGGUGAUUGCGGCGGAAUUGAGUCGUCUUUCAAAUGUUAAUUCAUUUCAAAGUUGCUUUAAAUUCAUCCAUUCGGUACGAUUAAAGCCUAUUUAAGAUCCAUUUUUAUUUAGAACGCGCGAUUGCGUUCCCUCUCAUUUAGUUCCUUUUGCCUUG